rnacentral:rRNA from 1 species
CUCUUCCUACGGGGGGCAGCAGAGGGGAAGAUUGGGAAAUGGGUGCAAGCCUGACCCAGCAACGCCGCGUGAAGGAAGAAGGCCCUCGGGUUGUAAACUUCUUUUAUUCGGGACGAAACAAAUGACGGUACCGAAUGAAUAAGCCACGGCUAACUACGUGCCAGCAGCCGCGGUAAUACGCAGGUGGCAAGCGUUAUCCGGAUUUACUGGGUGUAAAGGGCGUGUAGGCGGGAGAGCAAGUCAGACGUGACAUUCCAGGGCUCAACCCUGGAACUACGUUUGAAACUGUUCUUCUUGAGUGAUGG